AUUGAACGCUAGCGGGAUGCUUUACACAUGCAAGUCGAACGAGUGGCGGACGGGUGAGUAAUAUAUCUGAACGUGCCCAGGAGCUGGGGUUCACUAAUCGAAAGUGUGGCUUAUACCGCAUUCUUUUGGAGCGGCCGAUAUCGGAAUAGCUAGUUGUGGGGGUAAAGGAUCACCAAGGCAACGAUCCGUAGCUGGUUUGAGAGGACGACCAGCCACACUGGGACUGAGACACGGCCCAGACUCCUACGGGAGGCAGCAGUGGGGAAUUUUGGACAAUGGGGGAAACCCUGAUCCAGCCAUCCCGCGUGUAUGAGAAGGCCUUCGGGUUGUAAAGUACUUUUGGCAGAGAAGCGGUAUCUGCAGAAUAAGCACCGGCUAACUACGUGCCAGCAGCCGCGGUAAUAC
rnacentral:rRNA from 1 species